rfam:Cricetulus griseus cell line CHO-K1, whole genome shotgun sequence.
CCUUCGAUAGCUCAGCUGGUAGAGCGGAGGACUGUAGGCGUACGUUCGCGGGCAUCCUUAGGUCGCUGGUUCGAUUCCGGCUCGAAGGA